GACGAACGCUGGCGGCGUGCCUAAUACAUGCAAGUCGAACGCAGUGGGGACGGGUGAGUAACACGUGGGUAACCGCCCAUCAGAGGGGAUAACACUUGGCAACAGGUGCUAAACCGAUACUGAUGGAUGAACCCGCGGUGGCUUAGCUAGUUGGUGAGGUAACGGCGCACCAAGGCCCCGAUGCAUAGCCGACCUGAGAGGGUGAGCUGCAACACUGGGACGGCGACACGGCCCAGACUCCUACGGGAGGCAGCAGUAGGGAAUCCGCGGCAAUGGACGAAAGUCUGACCGAGCAACGCCGCGUGAGUGAAGAAGGUUUUCGGAUCGUAAAACUCUGUUGUUAGAGAAGCGUGAUUUAACCAGAAAGCCACGGCUAACUACGUGCCAGCAGCCGCGGUAAUUC
rnacentral:rRNA from 1 species